rnacentral:tRNA from 1 species
GGAGUUGUGGCCGAGAGGUUUAAGGCGCCGGUCUCGAAAACCGGUUGGCGGAAACGCCUCGCGGGUUCGAAUCCCGCCGACUCCGCCA